UGCGGGCCGCGCACAAACUUGGGGCCAGAGAGGGUGAACCGAGCUUGUCUAAGUGGGGGUCCUCCUUGCGCGGCCUAAGGGAGGAUGCUGGAGUCCCGGGAAUCUCUUCUGGACGAUCAGGUUGUUGCUAUGUACUUGUCAAAGAGAAAUUCAUAACAGAAAUGUGAACCACAAGGCCAAGAAAGUCGCAGCCCCAAAAUAAGAAAAGCAAGAAGUUAAAUGAGGAAUGACCGACAUUAAUUGAUUCUGUAGCUCCGGCUACAAGAAGGGACCCACAAGUGUGCCCAUUGCUCAAACAGAAGGAAGAACAAUUCCUACUGCAUGUGGCCAUGUGAUGUUGAAUAAUACAAGGGAAUCAUAUGGAUAGGCUG
ensembl:processed_transcript Gm15958 predicted gene 15958